AUUGAACGCUGGCGGCAGGCCUAACACAUGCAAGUCGAGCGGAUGAGAGGAGCUUGCUUCUCGAUUCAGCGGCGGACGGGUGAGUAAUGCCUAGGAAUCUGCCUGGUAGUGGGGGACAACGUUUCGAAAGGAACGCUAAUACCGCAUACGUCCUACGGGAGAAAGCAGGGGACCUUCGGGCCUUGCGCUAUCAGCUGAGCCUAGGUCGGAUUAGCUAGUUGGUGAGGUAAUGGCUCACCAAGGCGACGAUCCGUAACUGGUCUGAGAGGAUGAUCAUUCACACUGGAACUGAGACACGGUCCAGACUCCGACGGGAGGCAGCAGUGGGGAAUAUUGGACAAUGGGCGAAAGCCUGAUCCAGCCAUGCCGCGUGUGGGAAGAAGGUCUUCGGAUUGUAAAGCACUUUAAGUUGGGAGGAAGGGUUGUAGAUUAAUACUCUGCAAUUUUGACGUUACCGACAGAAUAAGCACCGGCUAACUCUGUGCCAGCAGCCGCCGUAACAC
rnacentral:rRNA from 1 species